AUUGAACGCUGGCGGCAGGCCUAACACAUGCAAGUCGAGCGAGCGGCGGACGGGUGAGUAAUGUCUGGGACACUGCCCGAUGGAGGGGGUUAACUACUGGAAACGGUAGCUAAUACCGCAUACCAUCGGCUUUGCCCAGAUGGGAUUAGCUAGUAGGUGGGGUAAAGGCUCACCUAGGCGACGAUCCCUAGCUGGUCUGAGAGGAUGACCAGCCAAACAGGAACUGAGACACGGUCCAGACUACUACGGGAGGCAGCAGUGGGGAAUAUUGCACAAUGGGCGCAAGCCUGAUGCAGCCAUGCCGCGUGUAUGAAGAAGGCCUUCGGGUUGUAAAGCACUUUCAGCGAGGAGGCGUUACUCGCAGAAGAAGCACCGGCUAACUCCGUGCCAGCAGCCGCGGUAAUAC
rnacentral:rRNA from 1 species